UGGCGAACGGGUGAGUAACGCGUGGGAAACCUGCCCUUGAGUGGGGGACAACACUUCUAACGAGGUGCUAAUACCGCAUAAUAUCUUUGGAUGGCAUCUUCCGAAGAUCAAAGACGGCCUCUGAUUUAAGCUGUCGUUUGAGGAUGGUCCCGCGUCCGAUUAGCUUGUUGGUGAGGUAAUGGCUCACCAAGGCUACGAUCGGUAGCCGGCCUGAGAGGGUGUCCGGCCACACUGGGACUGAGAUACGGCCCAGACUCCUACGGGAGGCAGCAGUCGAGAAGCUUCCGCAAUGGGCGAAAGCCUGAUGGAGCGACGCCGCGUGAGUGAGGAAGGUCUUCGGAUCGUAAAACUCUGUCAGAGGGGAAGAAACACGAAUGGGUUAAUAUCCCAUUCGCUUGACGGUACCCUCAGAGGAAGCUCCGGCUAACUCCGUGCCAGCAGCCGCGGUAAUACGGAGGGAGCAAACGUUGUUCGGAAUCACUGGGCGUAAAGGGCUCGUAGGCGGCUUUUUAAGUCGGGGGUGAAAUCCAGUGGCUCAACCAUUGGCCUGCCUCCGAAACUGAAAAGCUUGAGUCCGUGAGGGGAGAGGGGAAUUCCUGGUGUAUCGGUGAAAUGAGUUGAUAUCAGGAGGAACACCCGUGGCGAAGGCGCCUCUCUGGCACGGUACUGACGCUGAGGAGCGAAAGCGUGGGGAGCAAACAGGAUUAGAUACCCUGGUAGUCCACGCCGUAAACGAUGAGAACUAGG
rnacentral:rRNA from 1 species